rnacentral:rRNA from 1 species
UGGGGAAUAUUGGACAAUGGGCGAAAGCCUGAUCCAGCCAUGCCGCGUGUGUGAAGAAGGUCUUCGGAUUGUAAAGCACUUUAAGUUGGGAGGAAGGGCAGUAAAUUAAUACUUUGCUGUUUUGACGUUACCGACAGAAUAAGCACCGGCUAACUCUGUGCCAGCAGCCGCGGUAAUACAGAGGGUGCAAGCGUUAAUCGGAAUUACUGGGCGUAAAGCGCGCGUAGGUGGUUCGUUAAGUUGGAUGUGAAAUCCCCGGGCUCAACCUGGGAACUGCAUUCAAAACUGACGAGCUAGAGUAUGGUAGAGGGUGGUGGAAUUUCCUGUGUAGCGGUGAAAUGCGUAGAUAUAGGAAGGAACACCAGUGGCGAAGGCGACCACCUGGACUGAUACUGACACUGAGGUGCGAAAGCGUGGGGGAG